rnacentral:misc_RNA from 1 species
GAAAUGCGAUACGUAAUGUGAAUUGCAAAUUCAGUGAAUCAUCGAGUCUUUGAACGCACAUUGCGCCCACUGGUAUUCCGGGGGGCAUGCCUGUCCGAGCGUCAUUUCUGCCCUCAAGCACGGCUUGUGUGUUGGGCCCCGUCCUCCGAUCCCGGGGGACGGGCCCGAAAGGCAGCGGCGGCACCGCGUCCGGUCCUCGAGCGUAUGGGGCUUUGUCACCCGCUCUGUAGGCCCGGCCGGCGCUUGCCGAUCAACCCAAAUUUUUAUCCAGGUUGACCUCGGAUCAGGUAGGGAUACCCGCUGAACUUAAGC